rnacentral:rRNA from 1 species
UAAGGAAUAUUGGACAAUGGUCGCAAGACUGAUCCAGCCAUGCCGCGUGCAGGAAGACGGCCCUAUGGGUUGUAAACUGCUUUUGUACCAGAGAAAACCUAUCUACGUGUAGAUAGCUGAUAGUAUGGUAAGAAUAAGCAUCGGCUAACUUCGUGCCAGCAGCCGCGGUAAGACGAAGGAUGCAAGCGUUAUCCGGAUUCAUUGGGUUUAAAGGGUGCGUAGGCGGGCUUGUAAGUCAGUGGUGAAAUCUCUCAGCUUAACUGAGAAACUGCCAUUGAUACUGCAGGCCUAGAGUAUAGAUGACGUUGGCGGAAUAUGACAUGUAGUGGUGAAAUACUUAGAUGUGUCAUAGAACACCGAUUGCGAAGGCAGCUAACGAAACUAUAACUGACGCUGAGGCACGAAAGUGCGGGGAUCAAACA